AGCUUUGCACAGUGGCAGCAUCAUAGCUAAUGAGGUUUAUCCAAAGCAUGAUUAUUGCUAAUUGAAAACUUUUCUCAAGGAAAUGUACAUUUAAAACAUUUAAAUAAUUUAACUAAAA
rnacentral:snRNA from 1 species